rnacentral:misc_RNA from 1 species
AAGUCGUAACAAGGUUUCCGUAGGUGAACCUGCGGAAGGAUCAUUAGCGAAGUUCGGAAUGCAUGUUCGGUGUUGAUGCUGCCCAGCAAUGGGAUGUGCUCGCUCGGAUGUGUGUCCCUUCUCUAUCCACCCCACUGUGAACCAAGUAUGUGAGCCGAAGAGAAAUCGGACGCUCGCAUGCAAACCUUUAACAUACCCCAAUUAAGUAUCAGAAUGUACCUUGCGUUAACUCGCACAAAUAUAACUUUCAACAACGGAUCUCUUGGCUCUC